AGAAUCAACGCUGGCGGCGUGCCUAACACAUGCAAGUCGAACGAGAAAGUGGAGCAAUCCAUGAGUAAAGUGGCGCACGGGUGAGUAACACGUGACUAACCUACCCUUGAGUGGGGGAUAACCUAGAGAAAUCUGGGCUAAUACCGCAUAAUACCUUCGGGUCAAAGGAGCAAUUCGCUUAAGGAGGGGGUCGCGGCCGAUUAGUUAGUUGGCGGGGUAAUGGCCCACCAAGACUGUGAUCGGUAUCCGGCCUGAGAGGGCGCACGGACACACUGGAACUGAAACACGGUCCAGACUCCUACGGGAGGCAGCAGUGGGGAAUUUUGCGCAAUGGGGGAAACCUGACGCAGCAACGCCGCGUGGAGGAUGAAGCCCUUGGGGCGUAAACUCCUUUCGAUCGGGAAGAUAAUGACGGUACCGAGAGAAGAGCCCGGCUAACUCGUGCCAGCAGCCGC
rnacentral:rRNA from 1 species